GUCGUCCUCACCUGCGUCCACCUCGAUGGCAAACAUUGAGAAUUUGUUACUCUAAAUUUAAAGUCACUCCGGAUGACUUUCAAUGGGUAUGUGAAUCGUGUCGAAACACUGUGCCACAAAUGGCAAUGGACUGACAGUUCCAUCAUCUCAAAGACGUACCAAGAGGACGAUGAGACCAAAAUAGAGGCCUAUAUCUGAUGACUGAUGACUUGACCCGGGUGAAAAUGGACCACACACCCUUCUGCAUGACUGUUUACGUCAGGUAA